GGAGCAAGCGUUGUCCGGAUUUACUGGGCGUAAAGAGCGCGCAGGCGGUCGGAUAAGUCGAAUGUGAAAGCCCCCGGCUCAACUGGGGAGGGUCAUUCGAUACUGUUCGACUCGAAGGCAGGAGAGGGAAGUGGAAUUCCCGGUGUAGUGGUGAAAUGCGUAGAUAUCGGGAGGAACACCAGUGGCGAAGGCGACUUCCUGGCCUGUUCUUGACGCUGAGGCGCGAAAGCUAGGGGAGCAAACGGG
rnacentral:rRNA from 1 species